rnacentral:tRNA from 2 species
UUCCUGUUCGUAUAACGGCUAGUAUGCUCGCUUGUCACGUGACUAUCGCGGGAGAUCGGAGUUCGAUUCUCCGACAGGAAG